UACGGAGGGUGCAAACGUUGUUCGGAAUUACUGGGCGUAAAGCGCGUGUAGGCGGCUUGGCAAGUCGGGUGUGAAAGCCCUGGGCUCAACCUAGGAAGUGCACUCGAAACUGCUUCGCUUGAGUGUCGGAGAGGAAAGCGGAAUUCUCGGUGUAGAGGUGAAAUUCGUAGAUAUCGAGAGGAACACCGGUGGCGAAGGCGGCUUUCUGGACGAUGACUGACGCUGAGACGCGAAAGCGUGGGGAGCAAACAGG
rnacentral:rRNA from 1 species